rnacentral:rRNA from 1 species
UACGUAGGGUGCAAGCGUUAAUCGGAAUUACUGGGCGUAAAGCGUGCGCAGGCGGUUCGCUAAGACAGAUGUGAAAUCCCCGGGCUUAACCUGGGAACUGCAUUUGUGACUGGCGGGCUAGAGUAUGGCAGAGGGGGGUAGAAUUCCACGUGUAGCAGUGAAAUGCGUAGAGAUGUUAAGGAAUACCGAUGGCGAAGGCAGCCCCCUGGGCCAAUACUGACGCUCAUGCACGAAAGCGUGGGGAGCAAACAGG